AUUGAACGCUGGCGGCAUGCCUUACACAUGCAAGUCGAACGGCAGCACGGGAGCAAUCCUGGUGGCGAGUGGCGAACGGGUGAGUAAUAUAUCGGAACGUGCCCAGUCGUGGGGGAUAACUACUCGAAAGAGUGGCUAAUACCGCAUACGAUCUACGGAUGAAAGCGGGGGACCUUCGGGCCUCGCGCGAUUGGAGCGGCCGAUAUCAGAUUAGGUAGUUGGUGGGGUAAAGGCUCACCAAGCCAACGAUCUGUAGCUGGUCUGAGAGGACGACCAGCCACACUGGAACUGAGACACGGUCCAGACUCCUACGGGAGGCAGCAGUGGGGAAUUUUGGACAAUGGGCGCAAGCCUGAUCCAGCAAUGCCGCGUGCAGGAAGAAGGCCUUCGGUUGUAACUGCUUUUGUACGGAACGAAAAGGCUCUGGUUAAUACCUGGGGCUCAUGACGUACCGUAAGAAUAAGCAACCGGCUAACUACGUGCCAGCAGCCG
rnacentral:rRNA from 1 species